UACGUAGGGUGCGAGCGUUGUCCGGAAUUAUUGGGCGUAAAGAGCUCGUAGGCGGCUCAGUAAGUCAGGUGUGAAACCUCCAGGCUCAACCUGGAGACGCCACCUGAUACUGCUGUGGCUAGAGUCCGGUAGGGGAGCGUGGAAUUCCUGGUGUAGCGGUGAAAUGCGCAGAUAUCAGGAGGAACACCCGUGGCGAAAGCGGCUCUCUGGGACGGUACUGGACGCUGAGACGCGAAAGCGUGGGGAGCAAACAGG
rnacentral:rRNA from 1 species